rnacentral:sRNA from 1 species
AUUGGGUAGUGGACACUUGUUUACACAAGGGAAGUCGAGAUAACAUGAGUAUUGUACUAGUUUGCUUUUCAAAUGCUCCCAAGGUCUCAGAUGAAGCGGUGAAAAAAGAUUCAGAGUUGGAUAAGCACUUGGAAUCACGGGUUGAAGGUCUCAAUGCUUUUGAGUCUCAAUGAGUCCUGCUUUGAGGGUGAUGAAAACGUGAGAAACAUAGAUUAUGGAGAAGUCUGGCGAGGAAGGAAUGCCUGAUCUUGCCCAUGUCAUGCGCAUCUUGUCUGCAGAAAAUAUCCCAAAUUUGCCUCCUGGGGGAGGUCUUGCUGGCAAGCGUAAUGUUAUUGAAGCUGUUUAUAGUAGACUGAAUCCACAUAGAGAAAGUGAUGGGAUGGCAGUCUUGGGCACGUCCAUUUGUAAACCUGCUGAGAGCUCUGGUGACAAGAAAGGCAGUGGCUGGCAGACCUUCCAAGCACUCAGAAGCACGCGGACAAAAAGGUUUUUUUGUAAACCCGAACGAAAAAUAAACCCAGCAUUAUAUAAUUAU